rnacentral:rRNA from 1 species
UUGAAAGGGAAACGAUUGAAGUCAGUCGUACCGGCGGGUAAUCAGCCUUUCGGGUAUGAUUCUGUGGAGCGUGAGGAGUUAAACGCCUUCAUGCCUGCAUAUUCGUGCUCUUGGGUGUACUUGCUCGUGUGGUUGGUUAACAUCAAUUUCGGUUAUCAUAAAAUGGCUGGAGGAAUGUAGCUUCGAUCUCGUAUUGAAGUGUUAUAGCCUUCGGCAGAUGUGAUGAUUGGGAUUGAGGAUUGCAACGGAUACCCUUCGGGGCUACCUGUCUGAUUUCUGAUCGUUGCUCUGGUGCCGAAAGCUUGCUUACGGUUAUCAAAGUCGAUGGUCAAUAGGUUAGAAUGGGUUAAAUUCGUUAAGGAUGUUGACGUA